rnacentral:rRNA from 1 species
AGUGAACGCUGGCGGUAGGCCUAACACAUGCAAGUCGAACGGCAGCACAGUAAGAGCUUGCUCUUACGGGUGGCGAGUGGCGGACGGGUGAGGAAUACAUCGGAAUCUACUUUUUCGUGGGGGAUAACGUAGGGAAACUUACGCUAAUACCGCAUACGACCUACGGGUGAAAGCAGGGGAUCUUCGGACCUUGCGCGAUUGAAUGAGCCGAUGUCGGAUUAGCUAGUUGGCGGGGUAAAGGCCCACCAAGGCGACGAUCCGUAGCGGGUCUGAGAGGAUGAUCAGCCACACUGGAACUGAGACACGGUCCAGACUCCUACGGGAGGCAGCAGUGGGGAAUAUUGGACAAUGGGCGCAAGCCUGAUCCAGCCAUACCGCGUGAGUGAAGAAGGCCUUCGGGUUGUAAAGCCCUUUUGUUGGGAAAGAAAAGCAGCAGGUUAAUACCCCGCUGUUCUGACGGUACCCAAAGAAUAAGCACCGGCUAACUUCGUG